AAAAUAAUACGGAGAAAGUGACGGUGAAAAAGAGAAGAACGUUUGGGGUACAGAAAAAAAAUGUUUCGCCCAAGCGAUUGCUUUGCAGUCCGAUAACGCUGAAGUUCCAUUUUUGAUGCUGGCAAAUUUACAACGUUUACGUUCCGUUUGUCCGAAAGACGCUUGGCUUUUUCAACGCAAAUUUUAUGCGACGCGUAAAAACGUUUUCAUGUGCAAUCAAACCCAACUCUUCGCCGGGGAAAAAGGGAGCAAAAUAAAUAAGGAGAGAGCUCAAGAUGCUGUCCUAUCAGCGGCAGCAACAAGCCAAUCAAAAUGCAAUUUCCACUCGUGCACAGGACAUAAUUUAACGACACACAUGUGAAGCUGUAACAAGGUUUUCACCCGCGUUUCCCCACUUUUCCACGAUGAUUUCCUUUGCCAUUUCCAUCACAUCAAGGUACAAAUAAUAAAUAUGCAAACAAGUUGAUUCAGCGGGCUCAGCUGUGACUAUGAAUUUGUCAUUUUGUUGGCGCAUCAGGCAGGAAUGAUAAAAAUAUUUAUACAAAUAAUGGUUGGGCGGCCCUUAUUGCGUAUAAGCAAUGUUGACGAUGAUGGGGUCACAGUACAGAUAUAAAGAUAAAGAUAAAGAGCCAGCGACUUCAUCAAAACAGAAUCAGCUGCAAGGCUGUGCGAUAAGCAAACAAUUGCCUAAGGAUACGAGAAAACUCACCCAUAAACUGGCUUUUUCUUUUGCCUUCCAAAUUAAAUUCCACAACGAAAGCCAAAAAAUCCCCUACAUCAACGUCAAAUGGCUGAAAAUUUCACCUUUUCCUCUCUUCUCUAUACUUCUAAAUUUUGAUGGGCUUACACGUGUGUAAAAUGUUUUUCCUCCCUGUUGGAUUUUCCGAGCAUCCGCCGAGUGUUUUCCAAGUUAAAGUGUUGCCCCAUUCACAGUUAAUUAUCCUGACGUCAGAGCGUCCACUUGAGUCUGCCGGAAAUCAACAAACAUUUCCGUUCAGUUUUCGGGAUUGCAGGCAAAAAGGGCAACAUUAGCAUAAUAAAUUGGCCUGGGCUGGUUUAUCGAAGGCGAGUGAAUAACUUCAUCGCUUAGCCGCAUUAAUAACGCGGCUUUAAUAAGGACUUGGCCAAGGAUUCCACCACCGAACUGGUGCCGUCUACGUGACCAGAUAACUAAGCCUUAUUGUUGGUGGUAAAAAUAGGGGAAAAUUUAUAAGAUAUGUUAUUCUUCAUUUGGUAGUACAUAGAGAAAAAACGAAAGCAAAACAAAUAAACUGUGGCAUGAAGAGGGUUGUUAUAAGUUUUUUAAAAAAAUAAGCACCUGAGAGUUAUAAAUAUGUGGCUUAAAACUCAUAUGAGAUUUGUCAUUUGAAAAUAACUUAAGAUUUGGAGUGAGUUUAGGUUAACGUUUUUCCUCUGUGUAGGCAUUUUGUUGAGCUACCAAGAAUAGUUCUCCCCAUGGCUACAGCCCAUUGUUACAGCCUUUAGGUAAUUGUCUGGCCAUAAAUCUCUCCUUUGGCUUACUGCACUGACUCCGGGGCAAUUUAACGCCUGUCCGGGUGUUGCUGCCAAAUACCAUUCCCUUAAAGAGACACCCGAGUCGGGAAUGGAUGUGCAGGUGCGGAUUGAGUGAAAAAUCGAUCCAAGGCAAUUAAGGUCGAGGGAGAAAGAAAAAAGCUGAAUGGCGAUGAAACUGCCUUCAACUUUUUCAAUUAGCCAGGUGACCAAAGUUAUCGCUCGGAAGAAAUCAAAAUCAAAAUUACGACCACGCAAACAUCAAACCCAGAAACGAAGUAA